GUAAUAGCUCACUGGUCGAGUCGGCCUGCGCGGAAGAUGUAACGGGGCUAAACCAUGCACCGAAGCUGCGGCAGCGACGCUUAUGCGUUGUUGGGUAGGGGAGCGUUCUGUAAGCCUGCGAAGGUGUGCUGUGAGGCAUGCUGGAGGUAUCAGAAGUGCGAAUGCUGACAUAAGUAACGAUAAAGCGGGUGAAAAGCCCGCUCGCCGGAAGACCAAGGGUUCCUGUCCAACGUUAAUCGGGGCAGGGUGAGUCGACCCCUAAGGCGAGGCCGAAAGGCGUAGUCGAUGGGAAACAGGUUAAUAUUCCUGUACUUGGUGUUACUGCGAAGGGGGGACGGAGAAGGCUAUGUUGGCCGGGCGACGGUUGUCCCGGUUUAAGCGUGUAGGCUGGUUUUCCAGGCAAAUCCGGAAAAUCAAGGCUGAGGCGUGAUGACGAGGCACUACGGUGCUGAAGCAACAAAUGCCCUGCUUCCAGGAAAAGCCUCUAAGCAUCAGGUAACAUCAAAUCGUACCCCAAACCGACACAGGUGGUCAGGUAGAGAAUACCAAGGCGCUUGAGAGAACUCGGGUGAAGGAACUAGGCAAAAUGGUGCCGUAACUUCGGGAGAAGGCACGCUGAUAUGUAGGUGAAGCGACUUGCUCGUGGAGCUGAAAUCAGUCGAAGAUACCAGCUGGCUGCAACUGUUUAUUAAAAACACAGCACUGUGCAAACACGAAAGUGGACGUAUACGGUGUGACGCCUGCCCGGUGCCGGAAGGUUAAUUGAUGGG
rnacentral:rRNA from 1 species